CAUUUUGAAGAAAAAGUGCCUUUUUAAUGCGUGUGAUUAUGUUCACACUAUAUUUAUUUUUGUUGCAUCACAUUUUAAUUACAAUGAAGACCCAACUUUUGCUUAUUGUGGCACUUAUAUCCCCUUUAGACAGUGUUGUCAAGCUAUUGCAAAUUUAUUGUGAUGAUUUCGCUGUAAUUUUCUUCUUUAAGAACAAGUAUUUUGGAGGCAUAAAACAUAUGGAUUUGAAAUACUUGGCCGUUAAAGUUCAGAUACAAAGUGUCAAUUGAACAUGUAAGCACUAAAGAUAUGAUUGUAGACCCAUUAACGAAAGGUUGGCACCAAAGAUAUUAACGAACAUGUUGAAAGAAUGGGUAAUAAAUGUAAUUGUUAACGAUUAACAUAUAUUUUGACACUCGAAGCUUACUUGUGUGUUUCUGAUAAUUCAUGUUUUGUUAUUCUAUAUAUGAAUGAUUUAUAGGAAGAAUACUAUUAAAGACAUUGUCGUUUGACCAUAGUGAAACUUCUUUACUUAUGGAUAAUGUUAAGUUAAUAAUUAGUGAAGUGGUUCUUGGGAGGAACAAUGUCUAAUUAAUGACGUACAACCGCCAUACUCAUUAGAUUUUAGCUAGCUUAUGAUGUGCAUCGUGUCCAAAUUAAUAAGAAUGUGCAAGUUUUGUUCAUUAAACCAUAUUAAGGAUUAUAUUAUGAGCCAAGACGGAUAAUAUAAGGAUGUGAUUUGUGAAGAUAAACUUUAAUGAAAUUAUAUAUUUAAUCUUUUAAUGAUGCAAAAUGAAUUCUUUAUAAUCGAUAUAUCUUAUGCAUGGUUACAAAUAAAUAAGUCUACAUGUAAGAUGAAUUAAAUGAAGGUUGUAAAGAACCACUUAUGCAUUGAUGUAAGGUAAUUCAUGAAUGCAUGUGAUGGAUGUGUAUUCAGAAUGUCCUCUCUCCACCCUUUAAAGUUGUACCGAUUUCCAUCAUUAUAUGGUACGUAUUAAAGAGAGCGUAAGAGAGAGAAAUAUGUUCAUGCACAGUUGCUUUGCAGAUACCUACUUUCAAAAUAUCAAUGGAAAACAAAGGUACAUUUUGUUAAUAUAAUGAUUUUCUUCUUCUGCCUAUCUCAGUUAAAUAGGACUCAGUUCAGUUGAACUUUCAGACUUUACAUCAUUUCUUCUUUGUUCUGCGCAAAUUGUUUUAGAAGGGUAUCCAUGUACC
rnacentral:lncRNA from 1 species